UACAGAGGGUGCAAGCGUUGUUCGGAUUUACUGGGCGUAAAGGGCGCGUAGGCGGCGCGGUAAGUCACUUGUGAAAUCUCUGAGCUUAACUCAGAACGGCCAAGUGAUACUGCAGUGCUAGAGUGCAGAAAGGGCAAUCGGAAUUCUUGGUGUAGCGGUGAAAUGCGUAGAUAUCAAGAGGAACACCUGAGGCGAAGGCGGGUUGCUAGGCUGACACUGACGCUGAGUGCGCGAAAGCCAGGGGAGCAAACGGG
rnacentral:rRNA from 1 species